rnacentral:rRNA from 1 species
AUUGAACGCUGGCGGCAGGCUUAACACAUGCAAGUCGAGCGGAGAUGAGGUGCUUGCACCUUAUCUUAGCGGCGGACGGGUGAGUAAUGCUUAGGAAUCUGCCUAUUAGUGGGGGACAACAUUCCGAAAGGAAUGCUAAUACCGCAUACGUCCUACGGGAGAAAGCAGGGGAUCUUCGGACCUUGCGCUAAUAGAUGAGCCUAAGUCGGAUUAGCUAGUUGGUGGGGUAAAGGCCUACCAAGGCGACGAUCUGUAGCGGGGCUGAGAGGAUGACCCGCCACACUGGGACUGAGACACGGCCCAGACUCCGACGGGAGGCAGCAGUGGGGAAUAUUGGACAAUGGGGGAAACCCUGAUCCAGCCAUGCCGCGUGUGUGAAGAAGGCCUUAUGGUUGUAAAGCACUUUAAGCGAGGAGGAGGCUACUGAGACUAAUACUCUUGGAUAGUGGACGUUACUCGCAGAAUAAGCACCGGCUAACUCUGUGCCAGCAGCCGCGGUAA